AAAAUUAAAUGUGUAUUUACAAUUACAUGUGUAAGUCUCAAAAUUACAUAUGUAAUUAGCAGGAUGUAAUUAUGGUGUAACUAAAUUAAUAUGAAGUAUCAAUCAUUACUUUGAUCUAUCUGUCAAAUCAAUACGCCUGCCUAGUGUUAUAGUGCUAGAGGAUGAUAAGGACAAAGCGCAACAGAGUAAAGAUGGCGCACCCGAGUAAAGAUGAAGAAAAUCAGUAAAGCAUGUGUGGCUAAUGCCACGUGAGCACGAAUCUCCGUGACAAUCCUAAGGCCAAACUGUCGCCACAACUAUUGCGAAUCCGUUCUAUAACAUGCCCACCAACCCGCGAUCCCGGCGCACGCACAACUGUCUCUGCCAAUUCCGCCCGCCGCCCCUCUCUAAGUCUCUACUCUCUUCCAGUUCCGCUGCCGGUCGCCGGCGACCUCUCGCAAACAUGGAGAUCGCCUCCUCCCCAGUCGUCCCAGAUGGAGAUCUUCCGCCGGUUCCCCACCAUGGACGUGCAAGCACUUCGCCGUCCAUUGCCGUUCAUCUGUCACCUCCCUCGUCUCCAGCAGUUGUGCCAUCGACUUCUGCGGCAGCAUCUCCUCAGCCAUCUGUUUCACCUGCUGCAGCGUCGGCUCUUUCACAAUCUGCUCCAGCCUUGGCAGCUGCACCUCCACAACCACCAAACGCAGAGUCAACAGGGCAAGCGAAGGAGGAAUCCACCUUGGCAAACCUUCUGUUGUGCCCUAUCGAGGAGCCACCCCGCCCCGCCUGCUGCUCGCGUCGAGAGGCUUCCGCCGCCGCCGGAGUGGUCGCCGCGCCGAGGAACCGCCGCCGCCGCCGCAUCGAGGAGUUGUCGAAGCGACCUGCUGCUCGAUCGCGUCGAGUAUAUGCCUCCGCAUCAGGGAGUCGUCGCCGCGACCUGCUGAUUUCGUCGAGGAGCCGCCGCCGCCGCCGCCUGGUGCUCGUGACGCCGCGCUAGCAAUGGCCGGAGCCACCGUCGCCGCCUGCUCCAUCUCCCCAUAGGAUUUUGGAAUGGGAACGAUGGGGUCUUGGGGACACAUACUCAUGGGUAGAAGAGUACUCCCAUAUUUCUUAAACCAUUUUUUUUCUUUUCCAUUUCUAUUUCUUUUAACUCAAUACCAUGGGACCGACCUAACUAUCAUCUAUAGUAGGGGCAAACGGUUACUUCAUUUGAAAAAAAUAAAAAUGAAUUCGUAAAAUUGAAAGUUAGGGCAACACAAUUCUUCCUUCUUUAUAUCACACUCAUGCAUAUAAUCGAGUUAUAUAUCUACUGUUCCAGGGAUCAUUUACACGAGAGGUGUUUCUGUUCACCACAUCAGGCAGCAUCUUUGUGGGACUCGCUGCGCUCACCAAAGUCAUCACCAAUGGCUGGCCGCCGGUUGCCAGGACACUCUUCGCGCCAUUCGCUGUCUGCAGGGGCAGAUCUAGAAAAAUAUAGUAGUAGGGGCUGAACAAACUACAUCAGUAUAAAUUGAACCUCUAGUCUCCAUAUCCUAUAAAUCUAUGGGAAAAAUAUUAGUGGGGGCUUAGGGGGGUCUCCACUGUCCCGGGGGCGGUAGUGGGGUCUCAAGACCCCUCCGCCCCCAUUGUGGAUCCGCCCCUGGCUGUCUGCGUGAUGAUCCUUCUAGCAGCAGGCUCGAUUGCAACCACCACCAUGUCAGACCGUCCUAAACUGCAUUUCCUGGCGAAAGUUGCAGCGAGACUUUCCCUUAUUCUAGCUAUCAUGAUGCUAGAGAUCCCAUUCAUUCAGAUGGCUGCAGGAUUAUCUGCCCUUGUGUUCGCGCCGAUUCUUAUGGUGAUUACGCUCAUUAUACUGGGAUGUAUCUGGUGGUGGAGCGAGCCUGAAAUUGUGUGCAGGUUGAUGAACUCACUGUUUUGUCGACACCGUCAGGUUCAGGUUAUUCCUGAGCCCGCUGCCGACAAUGUGUGAAGAACCGAAGAAAUCAAACUUCAGGUAAGUGUUGGCUUUCUGUUAACUUCAUCGAGAUUGUGAAUUUUGUGAUUCAUUUCUGAACCUGUACGCCCAACCCAAACAAUUUUUUUACCAGGUCGAAAUAUAAUGGAAGGGGUGGUGGUUUUACAUGAGACUAUACAUGAGACCAUGAGUUUUACAAGAAACAUAUGAUGGGGUUAUUUUUAAAAUUAAUUUUGAAAAAGCUUAUGAUAAAGUUAAAUAGUAAUUCCUCCGACAAACAUUAUACAUGAAGGGUUUUUCUCAGCCGUGGUGUCACUGAUUUCUAAAAUGGUUAAAGGGGGAAGUGUCCGUAUAAAAGUCAAUGAUGACUUGGGUAAUAAUUUUCAAACGCACAAAGGCUUACAACAAGGAGAUCAAAUGUCGCAUAUACUUUUCAAUAUUAUGAUUGAUAUGUUAGCGAUUCUCAUUGAGCGAGCUAAAUUCGAUGGUUAAAUUAGAGGAGCCAUUCCACAUUUAGUGUAGGAUGGUUUGUCCAUUUUACAAUAUAUCGAUGAUACAUUAAUCCUAUGUGUGUUCGAACAAUUCUCAGGGCUAAAAAUUAACUUUCAUAAAAGUGAGAUUUUGCUUUGGGAAAGCCAAGGAAGUGGAUGAUCAAUAUAGACAACCUGUUCUAUAUAGUAAUUUUUUUUGGGGGGGGGGUGGCAAACACUGUUCUUUCUGCUAUGCGUAAGAGACAAUCUAACAUGUUUUCUUUGAGUGUCAUGUUGCUUAGUUUAUUUGGAGAUGUGUGGUUUUUUUUGCUUUUAAUAUCCCUUCACCCCGUAACGCGAAAAAUAUUUUUGUUAAUUGGCUUAGAGGGGUACCUAGGUCUAUUAAAAAAAUUAUUCUAAUUGGAGUUAGUGCUGUACGUUAGGCAAUUUGAUGUUUUUGUAAUAAUAAAGUUUUUAAUACUAAACAAUUAUCUAACUGUAUACAGGUUAUCUUCAUGUCUUUCUAUUGGCUUCAUUUUUUUUUCUACGAUGCUACCACAUGAGGAGCAUGAUACUGCGCACAAUGGUGCUACACUCUUGGAAUCGGUAGCCAAGGGUCUCUAAUUCCAUUCUAGGUGGCGUAGUCCAUUAGAAUUGCUAGCUAAAAAUCUAUGUGGUUUAACGCUAGCUAAUAAUAAAGGAGAAUUGAGAAUUUUUCCCAUCA